rnacentral:sRNA from 1 species
AGUUUUUUACCAGAUAAGCUUUUUAAAAAAUUAUGUUCAACAAUUAUCUUUUUAUUGUAGUUAAGUUUUUCAAAUUCUUGCUGUUUUCAAUAUCUCCUGGUUUCAUCAUCCCUACUGAGAAAUUACGUAUACAAUCUUAUAAUUAAUUGUUUGCUUUGGUCUUCUUUUAUUUUCCUGCUUUAUGAUAAAAUUUUCAUUAGCCUAAAUGUGUUAUUAAUUUUUCUUGUUUCUUAAAUAUUUGUUCAAUAUUAUAUUCACAACUUUAAGUUCAAAGGAUCAGUUUUCUGAACAGAUCUUCAUACACUAUAAAUUCCUUGUUGUAUGACCAUCUCUAAUAAUUUUAUUUUUAAUUUUUAGGUAAUGCCUGAUUAUAAUUUAAAUAAGGACGUUGACAAAAAUUAAUGAACCAUUUGCACAAAAAAUAUUUGAAUCAACAUUUAUUCACUCCUGGAAGAUAUUAAAUAUUUCAACAGAAUAUUCCAAUGGAUGGAACUUUUUCCAGCAUCUGGAUUAUUUUCCAGGUUAGACACAUGUUUGUCCACAGACUUGUCUUCUCUGAAUGAAAUCCAAAAGUUGUUUUUACUCCUAGAACCCUCAAAGCCUCUCUGUUUUUUGUCUAUCUAUUUUGCUCACUGUUGUUGAAUCUAUAUUCUUCAAAUGUGCCUUUACCAAGUCUCCAAAAUCACUGUGAGUAUAUGAUUCUCUGGGUAUGAGGUUGUGUAGUCAUGUCAAAUUAAAAUUUAAUAUUCCACAUACAGUCUGCACAGACAAAUAUAAGAAAUUUUGUAAUAACAUUUGUCUUGGUUAGUGUUGAUAGCUGAAUGCGAUUUCUUAUUCUACUGUGGAUCAAUAGAUCAAGAUUCCUUCAGAGAGGAAAGGCAAGUACCCAAAGGUUUUCUUCUAAUGACUGAAACACGUGGUCAGAAGACACACUAUUAACACUCGUCCUAAUAAUUUUUCAGCUAAAGAGUUGGGAAUGUAAGGAAAGGAAAUGGCUAGACUAUUCAAGAUUCUACUGGCAGAUUAUUUGUGAUGGUUGGUCUCUUUUUGCCUCCUAGAACAUUCAAGAGUACUUCAAGAGUUUUCCUCCCAUCUCUGGUGCAUCAAGUCUCAGCAGGUUUAGGAGCAUCCUCUCCCAUUGAGGCCAGCCAAGGUGGCUCCUACACAGGUGCCAGAGGGCCUCUGAUCAGCCCUCUGAUCAGACGUAUGUAUGAUGUAUGCUCUUUGGUUGGUGGCUCAGUCUCUAGGGUCCAGACCAUGACUAUCUAAUGACAUUAUAAUGAUCAGCAUUCAAAAGAACUUGAGUCCACAGAACUCAAGAAAUUUCACAGCUUUAUCUUCCCUUCCUGGGCUGUUUAUGAAAUAUCUAAACUCAAAUGCACAGGGACAAUUCACCUUAAAGCCCAGGCUCAGCAAGAAACCAGCAGUAGAGAAAUGCAAAGGAAAGAAGAGUUAAGAAAAGAAGGCCUUUCAUAACAUAUUGUUCCACAGGGGCUCUGAGCCCCACCAGGACAAAGUUUUCACAGUUGCUAGAGUUAACAAGACACGAAACCUACUAGGAAAAGACCUGACUUCUAUUUGCCAUGAUGGAAAACUCCCCACAGUAAUUCUGGAAUGUUUUAUGUUACUAUCUGCCUUAUGGACAAGAUCCUGCUUCUUAAAUGAACCCUAAUCUCUUCAAUUCCAUCAGCAUGAAGAGAAACAAUUGUGCAUCAAAUCAUUGGCUAUACAAUAAGGAUAUGCUGUCUCUCAACAAAGAAAAUGGAACCAAAACUGAGGGUAUAUUGGCAAUAUCACUAAACAUAGCAUCAUGUCAAACAAUAAAGAAGUUGGAUUGUGAAAAAGAUGUAAACAUAAAAACAAUCCAUCUGUGCAUAUGGUAGCAUGUAUCUUAAAGGAAUUACUUCAAAUUAUCAAAGGAAAUUUGCUGACAUCUAGACUAUAUGAAGAAUGACUUGGGGUACAUGACCAGGUCAAUGAAGAAGAGAAAGUAGCCACUGUGCAGAGUCCUUAUUUCAAAUACCUCCCACCAGGACCAAAUGUGUAUGGUCUUGUCUAUUGAUAAGACAGAAAACCUACUUGAAAAAGAGCUGACAACAAUUUGUGAUGAUCGAAAUCUGCCCACAGAAAUUCUGGAUAUGCUGUUCUUCAUCCAAGAAAAGGGGCCCCAAAUUCAGGAUAUAUCCAUAAUUUCACACAACAUAGCAUCAUGAAGAAGUUGGAUUGUGAAGAAGAUGUAAACAUAAAAAAAUAAUCCAUCUGUGUAUAUGGUAGCAUGUAUCUUAAAGGUAAGGAAAGUCCUUGCAUCAUACACCCUCAGGAUUCUUCUCAAUCUAUUUGAGUAGUUUCCUUCAUUAUGCAUUCCCUUGAGUGGUAGUAGAUAACAUAUAAGAGAAAUCUGAUAAAAAAGCAAAAACAAAAACAAAAAGCUGUCAUAAUGAGCAGUAAUGUAACUAAGUAUCUUUCAUUUGAUUCUUCCACAAGUAUAUGGAGAGUCACUUCAUACAUGCAUAUGAGUUUCACCUGAUAUGCAUGCCUCCUCAGAUGCAUUUGUCUAAGAGUGUUCUUAAGGGUGUCACUCUCCUUUUUUUCUGAGAGGCAGGUUUCUCUUCCUAGGUAUAGAGCACGUGACUCCUUCAUGUAUAUCUUUGCUGUACAUACCCAGUAGAAUCUCUUGGUCUGCUUGUCCCUCUCACUCACAAAAUAUUGGUAUCCAAAUGAAGGUUCACAUGGCUAUGUAACACGUAUUCUUAAGUACUGGGCCAUUCCUUCAGCACCAUAAUUUUAUUGUUAUAUUUAAAAAUUAAAAUCAUUUCACUCCUCCCUAUUCCUUGCUCUAAUGUUGUUUCCCUUCAAUCUCCCACUUCUGAUAAAAUACAUUUUCUUUAACUGUUAUUUUGUAGAUACAAAUAAAUCCAUAAAUAUGUUCAAAUAACCUGAUGAGUCCAUUAUCCUUGUUAGUAUCUGUACUAUUUCCAAAGGAACCAACUGUGAUUGGCUUACAAAUUAGGGGGUUCAUUUUUGAGAAAGACCAAUUUCCUCACUCUUCAUAGUAUUUAUUUGCAUGUAGUUCCUUAUCUAAAAGUUUGACUUCAUGAGAUUUCCUCAUUUUGAUUUAGUGUUACUAACUUGGAUAAUGUUUUGUUUAGAACUUGCUUAAACAACCAGACUGUGGGACUAACAAAAGUGAAGCUUCUCCUGCAUUUCUCUGAGGCCCAAUCCCAAAGCAGAUAUCCUGAUCCUCUGGAAUUACUUCAAAUCACUUAAGAAAGUCUGCUGACAUCUCGACUAUAUGAAGAAUGACUUGGAGUACCAGACCAAGUCAAUGAAGAAGAGAAAGUAGCCACUGUGCAGAGUCUUUUAGAAAACUACUGCACUCACAUGUUACUCUUCUAAGACAACGUUUCAAAUUAUUAUAUUAAGUUGAGAGGAAUUCUUCUGUGAACCAGAUGACAGCUUAUGAUUUAUCUGUUGUGCCAAGUAUCCUAUAUCUGCCUAGUUCCCACAAUAAACGAUUAGCAAAUGAUAUUGCCAAAAAGAUUUCUCUUAUAAACUUUCCAAUUGAAAACUCCCUGAAAUUAUUUGAAGAAGACUCAGUUUUAGUUUAUUAUGAGACCUCAUUAUUUCACCCUUAUGGAGUGGACUCUGAUUCCCAGAAUAAUCUUUCUAAUCCAGAAGGCAUGCGUGCUAUAAAAGGAAAAGGGCAUGCAAGAGCUAAGUGAAUUCAACUACAACAAACGAUGACAUACCUUCUUUCAUAGAAUCAGAGAAACCUGAAAAAUACAUUUUUUUAUAAAUCAAUUAAUUACUUGUGAAUCUGAUACCCGCAAAGUCAAUGUAUACAUAGCCCCACCAGCACCAAACAAAAAGCAACUUGUUGGGAAUUAUCAAAUUCUGCCAGCACCAAUAAAGAAAAAAACCCUUCUUAGCAAGUCUCUCAUGGAAAUCUUUCUUCUCCAAUACUGGAUAUAUUAGCUAUCAUUGCUGAAAAGGGACAAAAGUCAUAUAAAAUACUAAGAACACUAUCAGUUGAAUCACACUGGUACACGAGGGAUAAAAUUGAUGCUGAAUAAGAAGAGGUGAAUUGGAGUCAAGAAUCAGUCCUUGUUAUAGUAUCUGCUUUAUAGGGGGAUUUCAUUCUAAAUAUAUAAAGAAACUUGCUUUCUACAGAUUUAUGUAAUUUAUUUGGUGUCUCUGAUCAAGAAAUUUGAUCAAAAGAUUCUGCUAUCCAAAGAUAAUGAUACAGUAAAUUCUUCGGGAACCAUACAAAGAUAGAAGAAAUGCAUUUUUAAAGUUUUCUACCACAGAUGCCACAACAAAACUUCAUCCUACUAAAACACCUUAUUCAUGUGUUAUUAAAGAUUAAAAUUUCUCCCAUGAAGACUUAGACUCUUAACAGUUUAUCUGUUCACAUAACCCCUAUAUUCCAUGGCAUUCUACUUCCAGCAACUCGUUAUUUGGGAAUGACCUUUCCAAAAAGAUUUCUAUUGAAGAAAUUCUAACUGAAAACUAGCUCUAGAUAUUUGGAGAUGACGAUCAUACAUUUUAUAAAGAUAUUCCAAAAAGGUCUGAUGACAUAAAAAUGUCUUCAGGUUCACUAAAUACUGUUGAUAGAGCAUGUGCUAUGAAAGAUGCCAUAAGUGACCCCCCUGAGAAAACCUUCUUUAAUGCUAAUGCUGAAAAAUUAAAGAUUCCAUUUGCUGCCCCUCAGAAGGAAGGUCCUACAGAGAGCAGGGCACAACAAACAGCUUCUAUAUGUUCCGUGUUUAACAGUGGAAUCAAUGGCAGAGGAUGACUGAAGAUGCUUACAGCUCAUUCUACUUCAAAGUUCCUUUCCACCUCCCAUUCAACAAUAGAAGAAUAUAUCAUUACAAGACACUGCAGCUUUUAUAUUUUACAUUAUUGUUACAAAGAGUUGUCACUGAUCAUUUUGACUUUAUGCUAUAUAUUACACAUUCUUUAUUAUUAUAAUGAAUGUUAUUAAACUAUAAUAUUGAUUAAACUCC